rnacentral:rRNA from 1 species
GUAGUCAUAUGCUUGUCUCAAAGAUUAAGCCAUGCAUGUCUAAGUAUAAACAACUUUGUACUGUGAAACUGCGAAUGGCUCAUUAAAUCAGUUAUAGUUUAUUUGAUUAUACCUUACUACUUGGAUAACCGUGGUAAUUCUAGAGCUAAUACAUGCUAAAAAUCCCGACUUCUGGAAGGGAUGUAUUUAUUAGAUAGAAAACCAAUGCGGGCAACCGCUUUUCUGGUGAUUCAUAAUAACUUUUCGAAUCGCAUGGCCUUGUGCUAGCGAUGUUUCAUUCAAAUUUCUGCCCUAUCAACUUUCGAUGGUAGGAUAGUGGCCUACCAUGGUUUCAACGGGUAACGGGGAAU